rnacentral:pre_miRNA from 1 species
AUGUUCAGAUGCUUUCGGCCUGCUCCCUGAGACCUCAAGUGUGAGCGCACUGUUGAUGCUUCACGCCUGGGCUCUCUGGGUACCAGGACGGCUUGAGCAGACAU